rnacentral:rRNA from 1 species
UACGUAGGGGGCAAGCGUUGUCCGGAAUCAUUGGGCGUAAAGCGCGUGUAGGCGGCUUGGUAAGUCCGCUCUGAAAGCCCGGGGCUCAACCCCGGGAGGCGGGUGGAUACUGUCAAGCUUGAGUCCGGAAGAGGCGAGUGGAAUUCCCGGUGUAGCGGUGAAAUGCGCAGAUAUCGGGAGGAACACCAGUAGCGAAGGCGGCACUCUGGGCCGGAACUGACGCUGAGGAGCGAAAGCGUGGGGAGCGAACAGG